rnacentral:rRNA from 1 species
AGAGCGAACGCUGGCGGCAUGCUUAACACAUGCAAGUCUCACGGGCAGCAAUGUCAGUGGCGGACGGGUGAGUAACGCGUAGGUAUCUAUCCUUGGGUGGGGGAUAACGUUGGGAAACUGACGCUAAUACCGCAUGACACCUGUGGGUCAAAGGCGCGAGUCGCCUGGGGAGGAGCCUGCGUACGAUUAGCUUGUUGGUGGGGUAAAGGCCUACCAAGGCUACGAUCGUUAGCUGGUCUGAGAGGAUGAUCAGCCACACUGGGACUGAGACACGGCCCAGAUUCCUACGGGAGGCAGCAGUGGGGAAUAUUGGACAAUGGGCGAAAGCCUGAUCCAGCAAUGCCGCGUGUGUGAAGAAGGUCUUCGGAUUGUAAAGCACUUUCGGCGGGGACGAUGAUGACGGUACCCGCAGAAGAAGCCCCGGCUAACUUCGUGCCAGCAGCCGC